AAGUAAACAAAACUGUAACUCUUUAAAAAUAUAUAUAUAUUUUUUAAGUCAAACAAUCACUGGAUGUUAAUCCACACAGAUUUCUCUCCUGAAAACUGUUUAUUUGGGUGAACAAAGGGCUUCCAUUUAUUUACAGUAAGCUUAAAAUUCCAGUGUUUUGUCCAGGGGUGAGCCCUAGCAAUAGUUAGCAAGCGCUAGCCAGCUCCAGUUAGCAGUGCUAGCCAUCCCCGGUUAGCAGCACUAGCCAGCUGCCCAAUAGCAGUAUCCCAGGGCGCUAUCAGCUGGCGGUUAAUCCCAUGUAGCUUGUUUUAACACAGUAAACAUGCAGACUACAGUCCAAUGUUCUCCUCUCUGAAUUUAGAUUCUAGAAACAAGGUGUGGAGCUACUUCGAGCCUGGAUAACGGUGGAAAAGCGAUUUAUCGGCGCAAAUUAUGCUGCGUGUCACCCAGUCUGAAGGAUGUUUGGACAAACUGUUAAACUUUCUGGAUCUCAGAAUGAUGUGGGAGAAUGGAGGUGUCCUACUCAUCAAAGUUAAUCCUGUUGGAUGUGGUUGGUCCUUCUUGGUGGUAUGCUGACAUUACCCUGGAUACCGUGGCUCUUGAUACAUCACAAAGACUUGCACCAACAAUUUGUCCUCUUUUGAACUCUGGGAACAGAAGCUAGAUUCAGAUGUUUCUCUGAAGCUGGACUGGCCAGUCAGACGGAUCCACAGUGAGCGUUCCUAAACAAAGCCUCAGUAUGGCACCCAGCAGGAAGGAAGCGAAAAACACCCAGAAACUGCCAUCUCUCCUCUCUUCUCACACUGUUUGAAUUCAUGCCAAGUCCUACAUUAAAACAUAAACCUUUCAUGACCC